UGAUGAGGUAAGUAGGAAGAUAAGGGUUAGUUUAACAAGUUUUGUUUGUACAGAUUUCUUGAACCCCAGUUCCCCAUCUCUGGUGAUAAGAAUGUCUUUCUUCUGUUAUAGGGAGGGUAACUUUUAGAUGGGAGUUUUAUGACCUGUCUCAGGGAAGAAGGAUGAAGGUAGAAAGUCAGAGCAGACCUUAUUGCUUCUUUCAUUUUCUUAAAAUUCCUUUAGCUUAUGACAUUUAAUGUUCCAAGGUAUCAUAUUUUGGGGUAGCAUGUCCUAAAUCCUAUCAAUAGCAUAAUAGAUGCUCAAUAGAUAUUUUUCAAACUAAUAAAGAAAUAAAAGAACAGAUUAAUUAUAUGUGUGUGAGAGAGAUAUGUAUUGGAUAUACAUGCGUAUAUGUGUUGCUGUUUGUUUAUAACAUAGUACCAAGUACUUUCUUCUUAAAUCAAUACUUGUAUCUUCAUUGUUCCAUCUCCCCUUAAAGUCUGACCUUAGCAUCUUUCACUUUUUUGGGAAGUCAGAAGUUAUAUUUAUGCAGUGAUAGGGUGCUCUUACCCCAGAAUAUUUUACUCUUAUUAUCCUGUUCCUUACAUAUAUAAAUUUUGAAUUUAUACACUUAUGAACAAAUCCCAUAUUGUCUGGAUGAGAAAACUGGCACAAAGGUUAAUGAACAGACAUAGCGAAGGCCACUUUGAUGAUUUCACUUCCAGGAUAAAAUCCAGAACUCUUAACUGUUAAUUCACUAUCAUAUAUACUCUUUCUCAAGUGAUGCCAAAAAACUCAUAUUUGCAUUAAUAACUUUAUACAUAGUUAUUUUAAGGAGAAGUAGCUUAGCAUAGUGAUUGAGUGAAUCUUGAAGUCAGAUACGAGGGUUCAAAUUUGUCUCUUCUGCUUGCCUUGGACAAGUUACUUUUUCUAAUUUCCUCUUCUGUAAAAUGGCUGUAAUAAUGAUGAAAUAACAACUACUUCAUAGAAUUGUUUAUUGGUAUUUAAUUAAAUGAGGUAUUAUUUUGUAAAAGUGCUUAAAACAGUGUCUUAUAAUAAGUGAUAUAAAGAUGUUUGCUACAUAACUAUGUAUGCAUAAAGAUUUAUUUACCAUUGUUUUUCCUCUUGUUUUCAGCAUGAUUAUAGUAGAUUAGCAACCAGUUUUAACUUGUCCUUCAUAUAUUUGUGAUCCCAGAGAGAGAAGAAAAAAAAACCAGUGAAAAAAUGAGCAUGUCAAAUUUCAUUGUUCACAUGCUAAUCAGAUCUCUUAAUAACAUUUUUUUCAUGAAAAGAUAAUAUAAUGGAAAACAUUUAUGCAAUAUUUUUACCAGAAUUUACUUGGUCUAGUUUGUUUAUAAUAAAUAAGUAGAAUUUAUGAAUUGUAAGGGGAAUGGCACUAUGGUUUGGAGAAUUUUUUUUUUGGAAAAUUAAUUAGAAAUCUUUCCUGACCAGAAAGCUCCCUUUGAGUAUGUGAUGCCCCACAUUUAUUUCUGCAAGGCCCAAAAUGCCAAAGUACAUCCAAAUGCAGCGAAAAAAAAAAAGAGGAGAAUAGCUGUUUUUGAGGCAAAAGUUUCCAUAACUUGCCUGUGUCUGGUGAUUAAAUCAAUCAUUGUGAUUCUUAGUAAGUUUGAUAUUGCAGAAGGUCUUUGAUUCUUUUGAGUUAAACUUGUCAAGCUUUCUCUCUGUUAGCACAGAGUGUCUCUGUGUAAAUGAUGUCUUUCAGACCCACAGUUCAUAAAUGUCUAACUCACCUUCAGUCACAGGAUGAAAUGGAAAAGAGGAUGAGGAUUUGAUGUCAUAAUGGUGUCUACUCAUCUUUGAGGAGAAGUGUGAAAGAUCUGAGGCAGGUUUUGUGAGCCAUUCUGACCAAUGGAACUUAGAAAAGUUGGACUUUAAACUCAGAGAACUAGCUAAAUGGAUGGACACAGAACCUUCUGCUGGGCAGAAAAGGAAAUUAGCAAAAAAUUCAAUCUCUAUCUGUUGUUAGCAGUUAAGCUAAAAAAUAGAUGUCUGAAAGAAGCUUCCUUAAUAAGAUAAAAAUAAAUACUACCAGAAAUCUCUGUCAGUGGAAAAGCCUUCUUAUGCUUCCACAACUACCUCGGUAGCUGGUAUAUCACUUAUUACUCUAAAUGGUAUGUAUGUAUAUAGGAAUGAAGGCUAUGGUCAAGUGACCAUGUAAUUCCAAGGCUAUUCUGUUAAAGAAUUAGGGUUUUUUAUAGGAGAAGUCUGGCAAUUUGUUAUUGGCAUAGAUGCGUAAAUUCUUAGAAUGCACUAUGUGGUGGGAUAGAGGGUCUCUAUUUCCAGAAAAUGCUAAGUGGAAAAAAAUAUCUUUAGGUUGACAAAUAAUCCCCAAGUAAACUUGUAUUAGCACACAUUUCCAGGUAGUGGUUAUUUAUUAGCAUGCUACAGCUAGUGAAUUAGGAUUUUUGGCAGAUCUACAUUCCUUUGGAGGCAAUAUAAAUGUUAUUAAUGCAGGUAAUUCUAAACUAGCAUUAUGAUGACAUAUUUAAUAACAAGGACUAUGCUAUAGAUUAUAGUAUGACAAAUGAUUCCCCAAUCUUUGGUGCCUUAUGUAGUCUUGUUUUGGGGGUCUAGAGAACAUUUGGAGGCACUAAUUGCACUGUUCUCUGUACAAGAAGUUGUAUGAUAUGAAACAUAUGCCAGCCACUCAGAAGAAACUAUAUAGUAGGAGAAAAAUAGAAAAAAAAUAGAAGAAUGUUUAAGGGAUACAUGACAAAAUUGGAUGGACUUGUUUAGAUGGCUUUAGAAAAAUGGGAUAAAAACAGAGAAACCUGAUAGGAUUCCCAUUAAGUCAGUUGCUCAUUGUCAACAUAGGGUGGGUGUACAGGUGAAAGAACUGUUCCACUCACCACUUACAUUACAACAUCUAACGUUAUCUCUUUAUUCUGGCCUAAAGAAAUUCAAGUAUAAUUAUGAGGAUCAUGCUUUAGAAUGAACUAUAUUGAAUGAACAGUGGGUAAGGGAGAAAGGUUGUAAAUUUAUCCUCUAAAAGUUAAGUGAAAUUAAAAAGCAUAGAUUCUCUUCUCUAACCCCUGAAUGGGCAUCUUAACAUGCAAAGAAUUGGGAGACAUGUUCAGGGGUGCCAUGCAGCACAUUUUACACAUUCUAGAUACAGGAGUUCAAUAUAAUCCCUCUGAUGGAUACAGAUGGUACUCUGAUAGCCCUGAAGUCUAUAAUAAGAGCAUAUGGAUAUGUGGUAGAGGAAAUUAAAGUGGAAGUUGAAAAACAAAUUGUAGAAUGGCACUGGAGAGAUUAGUCUUUGGUCAGUUUACUUGAGUGAAUAAUUUGGGUGGGUACUGUACAUGAAUGGGGCAUGUUUCCCUCACCCCUUCUGUAGACUGUUUCAGUUCUUCAGCCAGUUAAUUGGUCAAACUAAAUAUUGGACUUAUUCCAUCUUUCCUCUUUAGCAAAUAUUAAGCAACAUGGUAUCAGGAGGGCAAUGAGAAAUCACUAUUAUGAUUCAGGAAAUGGUUGAAGAGGGAUUUUUAAUUCCCCAUUAAGUCCUUUUAUUGGUCUUGUAUGGCCAGUGUACAAAACAGAUGGCUCCAGGAGUUUGACAAUAGACUACCAGAAUUAACAAUAUGAUUCCUUAAAUUGGUUCAGCUGUACUUGAUAUGGGGUAGGCUCCACAGGAAGGACAACAAGCCAAGGGGACAGCAAGUCACAAGGCUAAUUCCUUUAUUUCUAUACAAAUUUGGAUUCCAUCCAAAGGUAAGUUUGCCAUUUUAGCAAAUAAAACAUAGAAACCCAGUUAAAUUUGAACUUCAGAUUUUUUUAAAUGCUUUCUUUUUAGUAUAAAUAUGUCCUACAUAUUGCAUGGUACAAGUAAUAUAUUUUAUCUGGCAACUCUAUGUGGCAUUCUCUAGAUUGGAAUUUAGUACACAGUUAUUGUUUUUCUAUGGGGAUAUUUGAAUUGCAAGAGUCUAGUGACAGGAUUUGGACUUGGUAUCUGUUUAACCAUUUUAAUACACAGCAUCAAUAAUAUCAUGAGUUGCUUCUUUUGAGGAAGAAGCACUGGAAGAGUUAAGAACUAUAGUCAUUCAUACUACAAAUAGACUAACUGUUAAAUCCAACUAAAAUUCAAGUGUCAGUCCAGUCUGUGAAAUUCCCAGGAGUUCUCUACUCAAAAGCAGCCUGUGCAGUUGCUUUUCACAGCCCAUUAAAUAGACACUCACUACCUUGUUGUGGGAUGUUUGUAUAAACUGCCUUACCAUAAAAAGGCAUCAGAUAAUUCUGGAGCCAGAGAUACUGAUUAUGGCUGUGGUGACAGAUGAGAAAUAUUCAAAUAUAGAAGAACCUAGUAAGAUUACUCAUGAGAUGGAAAUAAUAUAUUCCUGGGCAUACUAACCAGGAAAAUUUCAAAGGAAUCCACCUUGUUCAUGAGAAGAUUAAUUCACUGCCCAUAAGACUGGAUAUAGAGCACCCCAAGGACUUUUCUGCCCUCUUUGCUGCAUAAGCUGAACAACAUGAUUCUUCCCAACUGAGGUAACACAGACUUCCAGGUUCCCAAUAGAGGAUUUCAUUGUUGGUUAGAAAUCAUCUGCAAUAUACCCUGCAGAUGGUAAAAAUCUUAGUGACAGAAGGUCAGAGCUGAGAGUUGUUUAUUUUGUGGUAGAUGGGAAAUUAGGCUUGGGUGCUUAGGGCACUGUUUGAAUAUUUACAGACUGUUGGACAGAAGCUAGUAUCCUUGCAAUAUGGACAGGCAAACAGAAUCCUAGAUGCUGAGACAAUAAAAGUACCUUCCUAUGGGAUUCUUAGAAAUGGAAUUAUCUGUGGGAAUUUGCAGAAAGAAUGAAAGCGGUUCAUGUAGAAAACUGUGGUGUGUGUGUUUGUCGGGGGGGUGUUGUGUGUGGCAUAUACACAACCACAGGAAAAAAACUAUCACAAACAAAAAUCAGAAAGGGAUUAGAAUGAUAAAGCAGAUGACUUUGUUAGACCUCCAAGUCUUUCUUUCUAGGUAUAUGAAACAUUCAAAAAUAUAGGUACUCACACCAUGUCUGAUAGAGAUAAUGCCCAUUACCCUUGCAUCCUAUAAAACUUCCGUAAG
rnacentral:lncRNA from 1 species